UACGAAGGGUGCAAGCGUUACUCGGAAUCACUGGGCGUAAAGCGUGCGUAGGCGGUUCGUUAAGUCUGCUGUGAAAGCCCUGGGCUCAACCUGGGAACUGCAGUGGAUACUGGCGGACUAGAGUGUGAUAGAGGAUGGUGGAAUUCCCGGUGUAGCGGGUGAAAAUGCGUAGAUAUCGGGAGGAACACCGGUGGCGAAGGCGGUUCUCUGGGGCCUUC
rnacentral:rRNA from 1 species